rnacentral:sRNA from 1 species
ACCUAAAAUUCAGAGAUCUACCGGCUUCUAUCACCGGUCCAGAGGCGUGCACCCCCACACCUGGUUCAUUAGAGCUGAGGACACUGCUCCGGUCCAGACCCUGCUUAUUGUGUGAAGCUGUGACCCAGAAUGGGUUAUUUCUUUCGCUGCAAACAAUGAAAUGAACACAAACAAUGAAAUGAAGCCAAACAAUGAAAACGAACACACAGUUUAAGAAACGGGCAAAUCGUUUAAACCGUGACUCUCAGUUCUGCAUUUAUAAAGCGCAGACCGCUGACUACGGUACAAAGCUAUAAAGAAGUGAACGGCACGUAUACCAAGCGCGCUGCUCAGGGGAACACAAAGCAAAGGCUACUGGACCAAGGACAUGCUAUUUUGGGAGAGCGGCUCUGUAUCCAUGUUAAUAGGAAAGAAGAAAAGGCUCUGGACCCCUUCCAGAGUGAUAUGGACCAGAUAAGAGAGGGGAAGACCUCCUGAAGAUCUUGGCUACAGAAAAGAAAAGUUUGAGAACAUCAAACAGGGCAGGUAACUUGAUCUGCUGAUUCCUCCACAUGGGAACAGCCCAGUAACUGACUUAGACAUAAAAAUGUCUCUAGUAAAAACUUCAGCUAAAAUUAGACAAUAAAUCUUGUUGGUUGUGGAAUCCUUAAGAUUCUUCAUGCCCUCCUUCAUAUGACAUAAUAAAGAUUUAUUACAAUUGGUUAUUGAUCAAAUGAACUCAUAAAAAAGACAGUUGUCUUCUACCUGCUCAAACAAGAAGCAAAAAUUCAUCCUUAACUAAUUUGUGAAUCUUGCACAAUCCAUACAAAUAUCUUUAUAGUACUAAAAUUUUGGUUGUGAGGUUCAUAUAUUGCAGGAUAUACAGCUCUGAUGGGAUUCAUCCUUGGGGAUGCUGAUGUGACCUGCUGUUCCAGCCCCCUGCCUCCUGAAGCUAUCUCCAGAGAAUUGCUUCCAGAACAGCUUCAGGAAUAGCUGGUGAUUCCAGAUGACCUCGCUUCAUCCAACCUUUCAGACAGAUCCAGUAAGAACUUCAGUCAAGCCCCAAGCCUUCUAAGCAUACAAAGACUGGAUAACAGAUACUAAAGCUAUUUUCCUACUCCUCCCCACUCCUUUAAAGAAUCUGUCAACACCUCUAUUCAGCAGGAAAAAGUUGUGAAGAGUCGUCAUCCCAAUCCCUUGGGUUUGGGUGUCUGGUUAUGGUUAUUUUAUAAAUUAUAGAUAGUUGUCAUUUUAAGGGAUAAUUUGGAAAUGGUCAUAAUUUUAAACAGGGAAGAAAUAGAUGAUGUGAAUUACUAAAUUUAUUCUUGAACAAAACAUUGUUUAGUUCUAUCUUACACGGAUAGAAAUCUUUAUACUUGAUAGAAAAUUGGAGUUAUAGUUUCUUACAUUGGUAUAGAAUUUAUAUAU